rnacentral:rRNA from 1 species
UACGAAGGGGGCUAGCGUUGCUCGGAAUUACUGGGCGUAAAGCGCACGUAGGCGGCUUCUUAAGUCGGUGGUGAAAUCCUGGAGCUCAACUCCAGAACUGCCUUCGAUACUGGGAGCUCGAGUCCGGGAGAGGUGAGUGGAACUGCGAGUGUAGAGGUGAAAUUCGUAGAUAUUCGCAAGAACACCAGUGGCGAAGGCGGCUCACUGGCCCGGUACUGACGCUGAGGUGCGAAAGCGUGGGGAGCAAAGCAGGGAGUU